rnacentral:rRNA from 1 species
UACGUAGGGUGCAAGCGUUAAUCGGAAUUACUGGGCGUAAAGGGUGCGUAGGUGGUGAGGUAAGUCGGAUGUGAAAUCUCCGAGCUCAACUCGGAAAUGGCAUUGGAAACUACCUUGCUUGAGGGUUGGAGGGGGGACUGGAAUACUUGGUGUAGCAGUGAAAUGCGUAGAUAUCAAGUGGAACACCAGUGGCGAAGGCGAGUCCCUGGACAACUCCUGACACUGAGGCACGAAAGCUAGGGGAGCAAACAGG